UUAACCAAAGACGUCACCGGGAGGUUUCUUGUGCCCUUCAAGACAGAGUUCACACACUCAGAGAUGUUGGUGGUCAUGUGACCGUAUCUUCUCCCACCAUCCUUAUGCUGUGUCCACCUCUCAUAAGGCAUUCUAUUUGCCCAUUCGCACAUAGCCGGGUUCUCCGUCCUCAUUAUAUCAAACCAAUAGUCAAAUUCUGCUUCCGUCUUCGCAUACGCGGCAUUUACCAACCACCUCCGCGCAUCCUGCCCCUUGAAAGUGAGGGCAAAAUUUGCAGCAACAUGCCGAAUACAAAAUGCCCGAUAAGCAUGCGGGGGUAGCCAACCACUAUCGGGGCUCUCUAAUGCAGCCUUGAUGCCGUUGUGUCUGUCAGAGAUCACGAGAAUACCUUGCUGUGGAGUGACAUGCCUUCUAAGGUUCGAUAGAAAGUACGACCAAGAAUCUGCGUUCUCUCCCUCCACGAGUGCAAACCCAACAGGCAAAAUGUUUGAGUUACCAUCCUAUGCGAUCGCCAACAACAACGUCCCGCCAUAUUUGCCAUACAGGUGUGUGCCGUCGAUGC
rnacentral:lncRNA from 1 species